UAGCAAUCUGCUCAGGAUGGAGAUUUAGCACUGAUGAUCUGAUAUUUUCAAAAUAUAAUCAAAAUAUUCAAGUACCAAUAUAAUAAAACCAAAACUUUCACUCACCAGCUGAGCAAUAACAAAAGCUGCUACAAGUAAAAGACCAGGUCGCUCGAGGAAAGACCAACUACGUGCCCGGGUGACGAAUAUGAGAGCCUGACUGAUGGUACUCACUUGCAGGUACACUGCAGCAGAAAGCUUCCUAUAGUUGUCAUUAUCCUUUCUAUGAAGGCUUGGAACCCCAAAGUGACGCUGGAAAUGACAAAGGUAAGUGUUAGAGGAGAAACCAAGUCUAGAACACACCCAUAUAACAUAAUUAGCAAUAUCCACAUAGGAACAAGAAAAUCACACUUACAGGGAAGAAGUCUGUAUCGUAUGCUGCCCAAAAGAAAAUGACCGUCAUAACUGCUAAGUAACUACCCAGGAUGAUACCCGGUGGUAAAGAUCUCCGCAAGUUUCCAACUGUCUGGCAUAGGAGAGGGUUUCACUCUAUCCUUUGAAAUUGUCAUUAUAGUACCUGAAGAAAUGCCAUACAUAUGUUGGCAUUCAUGAAGUAUUUAGGAAAGGUACAUGUGUAAAUUCAUUGGAAACUCGAAGAAGUCAUAUGUAAAAGGUGAAUACAAACCAUCAUUGAGAAUAGCAAUGAUCAGAACCAUGAAGGGUGGGAAGUCGAAGUGCCAUGUGAGUGCCAGUAGCAUGAAACCAAGCUGUCAGUAACAUUGUUGGUAUUGUGUCAUCAUACGUCCUUUGGAUCGGCCAACAUUCCCACAAUAGCAGCAUCUAUUGCAUCUUGAUUUUCAAUCCGGGAUGCUCGAGCUGCCAUUAGAACAACAGUAUCUACGUCCACCCCUUUAACAAAGACCUAAACAAAUAAAUUCAAGAAAGAAGUUGGAACAGGUAUUGCAAUACAGCUAUAUAAGAAGGCUAAGAACCUAACAAGUAACAACUACAACACCAGCAAACCUCUAGAAGAGUCUUGUCAACUGUAAGCUUAUUCAAUGUCAGAGUCCCAGUUUUGUCACUGCAAAGAACAUCCAUGCCUGCCAUUUCUUCAAUUGCCGUCAUCCGUUUAGUGAUAGCACCCUGCAACAUUUAUAUUAGCUCUAAUUCUAACCUUCCUUGGCUUGACAAGCAAGUUGUAAAUUGAGAAGUUACUGCAACUAACCUGCUCAGCCAACCAGUGGGAACCAAUAGCCAUUGUCACAGAUAAAACUGUGGGCAUGGCAAUGGGAAUUCCUCCGAUAAGUAGCACAAGCAGGUUGUCAAUACCAGGGCGGUAACUCCGGUGUUGUAUUGGGUACAUGACUAUGAUCUCUAUGAUCAUUCCCACAGCGAUGGAACAUAUACAGAAAUUCCCAAUUGCAGUCAAGACCUACAUAGCAUAUGGAAAACAAGAGAAACUGAAUCCGAUUCCCACUAUAUCAAACUCUUCAGUUAAAGUUUAUACUUUAGACUUGAGAGAAAAUAAAUCAUCCUAGUGCAAGCAUACCUGUUGAAAAUGACCCUGUUGAUUCGUGCUAUCGACAAGGUGCGCAGCCUUGCCGAAAAAGGUAUGAACACCAGUGGCAAUGACCACCGCUUCAAUCUCUCCUUGUUUGCAUGUAGAACCAGAAUACACACUGUCACCAGGGCUUUUGGUCACAGGAAGUGACUCACCUGUAAGUGAUGACUUCAAAGACCAAAUGCAAAGAAUUAGACUAAACAGCUCCAUUUAAUCAAAUAGUUUUGCGAAAGUGUGAUUGCUAAAGCACCUGAUCAAUUUUCAAUGGAUCACCAUCGAGGAGACGGGCAUCUGCUGGAAGAAUGUCUCCAAGUUUAAUGCUGAUUAUGUCACCAGGAACAAGAAUGGAGUAGUCUCUGAUAGUCUGCAGGUCUGUUACCUUACCAUUGCUAGUUCUGCUAGUCUUCUGAGUUGUGAGUCAUGAGUUCUUCUGCUACUUCCUAACUUUUGCAAUGUCUUGUUUCAGGCAAUUCGGAAACAUAAAUUUGUUGACAUUCUAGAUGAUCCAGGAUCUACUGAUUUCAGUGCCUACGUUGGUUUUGCUUCUAUCAGGCACUCAGCCGAGGAAGCUUCAGGUGUCUCAUCGUGUUACUCUUAGAAUCAUAUUUCUAUUGAUUGGUUGAACUGGAGGUUGAAAAAUUGAAUGUGUUGGUUUAAUCUUAAUGUCUACAGGAGAUGUGUCUGUUCAUGGCCCUAUCACUCAGUCUCAAUUCCUUGGGUCUCUUGGGAUAAAUUUCCGAGUGGAAGCAUUAUUACAGAACUGCACAGAGGAACAAUUUGAAUCUCUCAGGUCAGGGUACUGGCAACUGGUAGGAGAAGGUGAGGUGUUAGAACCAUCUCCAUUACCUUGAUACUAAUCACCUAGUUAUCGAUGGAUCACAUGUAAUGAAGCUCCAUCCCUUUCAGCUAUGCUGGCAGAUCUGUUGCUAUCAUGACCACUUCAAACUGGUCCCCUUUUGUCUCCUAGAGUCUAGGACUCUUUUGGCUGAACUAGGUGGCAUUAGUCCACAUCUUCCCUUUAUAUUUGUACUUCCAAGCCAUUGGCAGGAUAUCAAUGAAUUAUGCAUCUCUAAACUCCUUUCUCUUCUCUCCUCUCUGUAAUUUCCUCCUAACCAGUUUGGUUCUACCAUGAGGCUCCCUUCUGGGAGGGUCCUGACGAAAAAGUUCCCAUCGGAAUGGGUACCCGUUAUUUGGUAAUGGCUUAUUGUGAACAAGAAGCAAAGUGACUUUGAGAGCUGUAGCAUUUAGGUGAGACAUGUUGCUUGUACAUUAGCAAAAAAAAAAAAAAAAAAAAAAAAAAAAAUUAACAAACUAUAGCAACUUGAAGUUUUUCAUAAUCUCAAUUCCAAAUUCAUGUGCAUUUUGUGAUGCGCCAAGAAAUAUGAGGAAAUGUCAAGUUCUGAAAUAACUUGGGUGACCAGCUAUGGUCACUUAUGAGUGACAAACAUUAAUAAAAGAUGAACAAGUGUCAACAAUAAUCAUAAACAAACAUACCAAAUAUCCAAAACCUCAUGUUAUGUCCUUAAAUUGCAGUUAAGUCUUCUAAAAAUAAACACAUAUCUCAUGUUCCCUUGUCACCGAAGUGAGAAUCUUCCGGUUCUUGUAAAACUAGCACCAAAUAAAUGCAAGUUCGAAGUUGAUAGACCGUCGUCGGUUACGGCCGGAUACGAUACGCUUAAUGAUUAACGUAGAAUAGGAUACGAUACGUUUAAUGAUUAACGUAGAAUAAUAAAGUAGACGGCGUCGUUUUGGCAGGGCCAACUAGAAAUAGUGUUGUCAACAAACUGUGAAUUAGAAUUGACUUUAUAGAGAGAGUGAAGAAGAAGAAGAAAAAGAGAGAAGAAAGGAUGGGAUCGUUUCUGUCAAGCUUGCUUGGAGCAGGGCCGGCGGCGGCGGAUGACUCGGCGGAGUCAUCGGAGAAGUCUCGAGUGACGUCGUUUCACUCGGCUGCCAGGUGGCAGCUCCACUUGAAGGAAUUCAAGGACACCUCCAAACUGGUACUUGUUCUUCUUCUCUAAUUACUAAUUGAGCUUCAAGACUUCUGAAAUUAGGGAUCUGAGUUUGAAAUGCUGCCUAUGUGAAGCUGGUGAUCGAUUUCUCGGCGUCGUGGUGCGGGCCCUGCAAGUUCAUUGAGCCGGCCAUCCACGCCAUGGCGGAGAAGUUCACCGACGUUGACUUCGCCAAGAUCGACGUCGACGAGCUAUCUGUACGUUCAGUUUCACUCUAUCGUCAUCGUGAUUCGAUAUUUAUAAGUUUUUUGAUGGUGCGAUCAAGUUUGGAUGUUGAUUGUUUUGUUUCGAUUUGGCUGAAAACAGGAAGUGUCUCAAGAGUUUGGGGUGCAGGCAAUGCCGACCUUUGUGCUUUUGAAGAAUGGGAAGGAGGUGGAUCGGGUUGUUGGUGCCAAGAAAGAUGAACUUGAGAAGAAGGUUGAGAAGCACCGCUGAUUCUGAAUAAAGCUAAGUUUUCAUUUCACUACUUAUAAGUUUGUGAUUUACUAAUUGUUACCGAAAAUUGCUCAGAUUUCUCGGUUUGAUUCAAAAAAAACUUAUUAUCAAAUUCUAGUUUUGUUGUUAAGUUUUGUAUAAGUUUGUGAUUUACUAAUUGUUACCAGAUUUCUCGGUUUGAUUAAAAAAAAAAAACUUAUUAUAAGUUUUUGUGGCAUUACUAAUUUACUAUAAGCCUCGUUUGGUAACAUGGAAAAGAAAUUCGUUCCUCAGUAUUUCCCACGGGAAAGGAAAAUUAGUGGGAAACUUAUAUUCCUUUCUGUUGUUUGCUGCAAACAACAAACGUUGGGAAAUCAAUGAGAAAACAUGUGUUUGUUUCCAUUUUGAUGUUUGGUUUGUGCAAGGAAAGGAAACUAAGUUAUAUUGAAAUCUCAUUUAUGUCCUCAUAUAUAUUAAAAUAUAUAGUUAGACAAGUUUCAUAGAUAAAAUUCUUAACAAAAAAAUUCAGUAAGGAUAUAAAUAUAUUUAAACUAUGUAAUUAAUGCACAUUUAAUGUUGGGAAAGUAGAAAGGAAAGUGAAUCCUUUGGAGGAUGGAAGGACUGAAUUUCCCACAUAUUUUCCUGUCUUAAAGGAAAGUUGUUUCUUUUCCAUAGGAAAGUAACAACUUUCCUUUCCCAAGCCCUUAAUUCCACGAAACACAAACGAGGAUAAGCAUACUGCAUACUUGUUACAUGAUUCUAUGUUUAAGCAAACACUAUGUCCUACUGCAAACCAUAAGCUAAAUUAAUCGCAUCUUAGACAGUGUACGAUUGCUGAAUUGUGUCGAUGUCCAGGCCCUUCAUCCUCACCACUGAUUCGACAUGCCCCUUCAGGGUGCCGAACUCCCUCAGCCUGCAAAAAUGCCAUGUUUUUUGCCUCUUCAUCACACUUGUUAUGUUUUGAAAGCUUAAAUGAAUAGAAUAUAGAAAAUGUAGUACCUGGCAAUUUCUGCACGUCUUUUUGCCUCUUCAGCCAUCUGAUUAAGUUCUGUGUAAGAACUGCGUUCACCAAACUUUUUGCUGUCCGGCGGUUGCAGACCGUGGAGAGUCCUCUGCGCGUGUGCCCAUCUAAGCUCCCUUUCUUCCUUUCCGAAAUGCUUCUUUCUUGUGAAGGCAAUCUGCAAAGCAAAGAAUUGCAAAUUAAAAAUUAAACAGAAAGAGUAGUAAACUAGAGUGAUAAUGCUCCUAUCCUACAUACCCUCUGCUCAAAUACGAGAUCCCAGGCUCUCCCACUCAGUGCGUAUCGGAUGAUGAACUUGAGGAUAUCAAGUGGAAGAUAGAAGACGAGAUUAUAUAACCAAACCACACCAGCCCAACCCCACCCAAUUCCCUCUAUCGCCGCGAAACUCCAAUCGGCAUAGACAGCAAUGAGUGUAGCAAUCUGCUCAGGAUGGAGAUUUAGCAUUGAUGAACUGAUCUUUUCCCAAUAUAAUCAAAAUAUUCAAGUACCAAAAUAAUAGUACCAAAACUUUCACUCACCAGCUGAGCAAUAACAAAAGCUGCUACAAGUAAAAGACCAGGUCGCUCGAGAAUAGACCAACUACGUGCCCGGGUGACGAAUAUGAGAGCCUGACUGAUGGUACUCACUUGCAGGUACACUGCAGCAGCAAGCUUCCUAUAGCUGUCAUUAUCCUUUCUAUGAAGGCUUGGAACCCCAAAGUGACGCUGGAAAUGACAAAGGUAAGUGUUAGAGAGAAACCAAGUCUAGAAAACACCCAUAUAACAUAAUUAGCAAUAUCCACAUAGGAACAAGAAAAUCACACUUACAGGGAAGAAGUCUGUAUCGUAUGCUGCCCAAAAGAAAAUGACCGUCAUAACUGCUAAGU
rnacentral:lncRNA from 1 species